UACGAAGGGGGCUAGCGUUGCUCGGAAUCACUGGGCGUAAAGGCGCGUAGGCGGCGUUUUAAGUCGGGGGUGAAAGCCUGUGGCUCAACCACAGAAUGGCCUUCGAUACUGGAACGCUUGAGUAUGGUAGAGGUUGGUGGAACUGCGAGUGUAGAGGUGAAAUUCGUAGAUAUUCGCAAGAACACCGGUGGCGAAGGCGGCCAACUGGACCAUUACUGACGCUGAGGCGCGAAAGCGUGGGGAGCAAACAGG
rnacentral:rRNA from 1 species